rnacentral:rRNA from 1 species
UACGUAGGGGGCUAGCGUUGUCCGGAUUUAUUGGGCGUAAAGAGCGUGUAGGCGGCCAUGUAGGUCCGGUGUGAAAACUCGGGGCUCAACCCCGAGACGUCGGUGGAAACCACCUUGCUAGAGUCCGGAAGAGGAGAGUGGAAUUCCUGGUGUAGCGGUGAAAUGCGCAGAUAUCAGGAAGAAUAUCCGUGGCGAAGGCGGCUCUCUGGUACGGCACUGACGCUGAGACGCGAAAGCGUGGGGAGCGAACAGG